rnacentral:snoRNA from 1 species
CUCUAUGAUGACAAAACACGAAAAUUUAUUAUUUCUGGUACCUCUUAUGCCAGAAGGGAAGCCCAACAGGGUUCUCUUCGAUGAUCUAAAUGGACUUCUGAUU